CAAUAGCGUAUAUUAAAGUUGUUGCAGUUAAAAAGCUCGUAGUUGGAUUUCGGUUAAGAGCGACCGGUCCGCCGUUUGGUGUGCACUGGUUGGUUUUAACUUCCUGUAGAGGACGUGCUCUGGGUUUAACGACCUGGACUCGGAGUCUACGUGGUUACUUUGAAAAAAUUAGAGUGUUCAAAGCGGGCUUACGCUUGAAUAUUUCAGCAUGGAAUAACACUAUAGGACUCCUGUCCUAUUUCGUUGGUCUCGGGACGGGAGUAAUGAUUAAGAGGAACAGUUGAGGGCAUUCGUAUUUCAUUGUCAGAGGUGAAAUUCUUGGAUUUAUGAAAGACGAACUUCUGCGAAAGCAUUUGCCAAGGAUGUUUUCAUUAA
rnacentral:rRNA from 1 species